CUGGCGUGAAAAUAAACACACGCGCAGUCCUGAGCGACAGGGUGAGAAGGAAUUUAGAAUCAUGGAGGACAUAAAGAAGAGAAAGCUGGACAACAGUGAAGGAAUCUCACCACAUUCAGAGGAAGACUUGCGCGCCCUUCUUGACCCUCUCGCUAAGCCCCAGCUCGUCGAUCUCCUAGCUAAACUGGGUUCCCAAUAUCCUUCAAUUGCAGAGGAAAUUAAGGGUAUAGCCACAGCAGAUCCUGUUCACCGCAAGCUUUUUGUUCGUGGGUUGGCCUGGAAUACCUCUUCCGAUACUUUGUGUGCUGCAUUUAGUGAGCAUGGAGAAAUUGAGGAGGGAGCUGUCAUCUAUGACAAAGCCAGUGGAAAAUCGCGGGGAUAUGGUUUCAUCACUUACAAACAUAUGGAGUCAACUCACCAUGCGCUCAGAGCUCCUAGCAAGUUAAUUGAUGGUCGCAUGGCUGUUUGUAAUUUAGCAUGUGAGGGGUUAACUGGUUCAAGUUCUACCCAUGAUCUUACCCAGAGGAAACUCUACAUUGGGGGCUUAUCACCAAAUGUCACUAGUGAGAUGCUCCUCCACUUCUUUGGCAGGCACGGUGAUAUAGAAGAAGGUUCAGUUGCAUAUGACAAGGACACAAAUGAGUCACGUGGGUUUGGCUUUGUAACAUUCAAGACAGUGGAGGCUGCAAAGAAGGCCAUAGACGAUCCACAAAAGACCCUUGGGGGGAGAAAUGUCAUUGUGAAACUUGCUGAUUCCCACAAAGGCAGAACAAUUCAAACACAGUUACCGACACCAAUGGUUCAAAUGCCGUUACCUUUAGCGCCUGGAUAUGCACAACCUGGAAAAGCCCAUCCAAGCACCGCCCCUCAUGGCUAUGGUUACCCUCCAGCUGUGGGACUGUACCAUGAUAAUACUUAUUCAAGUCCUCCCACAGCUCCAUACCCACCACAGUCACAAAUUCCGUAUCCAUAUUACAUUGGCAAACAAUAAUUGAUGAUAGACAGUUUUCAGCAUAUGUUUUGCAGGCCUCUAAUCUAGUAGAUGAUUGCACAUCUGGUAGAUGAUUUAGGGAGAUUGUGAGUUGGGUUGAAAUCUUAUGUCCCAUAGAAGCUAUGUUUCUGCACUGGAAUUUUGCUCUUGUUGUACUAUUAACAUGGUGUAGUCGAAACCUUCCAGUUGUUGUAGGUUGGAGAUAAACCUGACGAACACUUAACCUACCCAAUUCUGCAACUAAUUGCAACACUUUGCAUGCAAGAGUACUCCAUGUAUAAUUUCUUUUUGCGUUGUAAAUUACAUCAAGUGAUGCCGGGUUUGGAAGUUGGGUUUUGGAGGCGAUGAUUUCAGUCUCGAGUGGAGUAACUGAUCUAGUAUGGCUAAAUGCCUGUUUCGAACUGUAAGACCAGUUGAGAUAGGAAAACUGUAGCUAGUUCUUAGUAUGGGGAGAUACAUAUAUGUAGUCUGGGCUGUUUUCAUCUUGACAAAGAUUUGUCAAACUGAAGGAAAGUAUACUUCCAGGAAAUCUUUGAGCUCGGCAAAGUUAUUGUUA